rnacentral:rRNA from 1 species
GUGGGGAAUAUUGGACAAUGGGCGAAAGCCUGAUCCAGCCAUGCCGCGUGAGUGAUGAAGGCCUUAGGGUUGUAAAGCUCUUUCAGUAGGGAAGAUAAUGACGGUACCUACAGAAGAAGCCCCGGCUAACUUCGUGCCAGCAGCCGCGGUAAUACGAAGGGGGCUAGCGUUGUUCGGAUUUACUGGGCGUAAAGCGCACGUAGGCGGAUUGGUCAGUUAGGGGUGAAAUCCCAGAGCUCAACUCUGGAACUGCCCUUAAUACUGCCAAUCUAGAGUCCGGAAGAGGUGAGUGGAACUCCUAGUGUAGAGGUGGAAUUCGUAGAUAUUAGGAAGAACACCAGUGGCGAAGGCGGCUCACUGGUCCGGUACUGACGCUGAGGUGCGAAAGCGUGGGGAGCAAACAGGAUUAGAAACCCCUGUAGUCC